GUCGUCUUAGUCUAGUGGUAGCCCGCACUGACUGAUAUGUGAUUGCUUCCUCUAAGGUUUCAGGUGCGGUCGGCGGUUCGACUCCGCCCUGGGACA